rnacentral:tRNA from 1 species
GGAGAGGUGGCAGAGUGGUCGAAUGCACCGCACUCGAAAUGCGGCAUGGGGGUAACUCCAUCGGGGGUUCGAAUCCCUCCCUCUCCG